AACGCGAAGAACCUUACCAAGUCUUGACAUCCUUUGACCACCCUAGAGAUAGGGAUUUCCCUUCGGGGACAAAGUGACAGGUGGUGCAUGGUUGUCGUCAGCUCGUGUCGUGAGAUGUUGGGUUAAGUCCCGCAACGAGCGCAACCCUCGUUCCAUGUUGCCAGCACGUAGUGGUGGGGACUCAUGGGAGACUGCCGGGGUCAACUCGGAGGAAGGUGGGGACGACGUCAAAUCAUCAUGCCCCUUAUGACCUGGGCUACACACGUGCUACAAUGGAUGGUACAACGAGUCGCAAGGUCGCGAGGCCAAGCUAAUCUCUUAAAGCCAUUCUCAGUUCGGAUUGUAGGCUGCAACUCGCCUACAUGAAGCCGGAAUCGCUAGUAAUCGCGGAUCAGCACGCCGCGGUGAAUACGUUCCCGGGUCUUGUACACACCG
rnacentral:rRNA from 1 species